UAUUAUUAUUUAUUUUAUUUGACCGACUCCAAUACGAACAGUUGUACGAAAGUAAAAAAGAAAGAACACGAUAGACAAGGGUAUGAACGUUAUUUAAAAAAAAAGGAUGACUUAUUAAUAAUAAAAAAAAAAAAAAAAAAAAAAGUGUAAACAUGACUAUAUGUAUGAUGUAUCGACUAGUGCUUAUGUCGUGAGGGAAGAUAAAGAAGUUCAAAAAGAUGAGAACAUGGGGUUAAAAUUAGGGAAAAAAGUAAAUCAUGAUAAAAAUAAUACAAUUAACCAAAGUAAUACACAUAUCGCAACAACUACCAUGAUUAUUCUAAGAAAAAUACGAAACAAACAUGUAUAUUACCGUACAUGUAGCAACUUUAAAGUAAAUGUGCAUGUUAACUCCAUUCAAACUUGUUUUGUUUAUAACAACAAUGAAUGCAUUGUUAUUUAUCUAAAAAGGCUAUACAUGUUCGCACAUAUACAAAAGGAUAAACUCGAGCGCAUAAAGGAAAAUCAUUUUAAUCACCCUUUUUUUUUGUUCGCAUUUAGAAAGAACGAACAAAAAAAGGAAGGGGGAGAUAUAAACUGGGGCGAAGGAAAUGGGAUCGAGAAAGAAGUUGAGAAAGAAGUUGAGAAAGAAGUUGAGGGAAAAGACGAAGCCAGAGACGAAGCCAGAGACGAAGCCAGAGACGAAGCCGAAGUCGGGGCCAAAGACAAGGGCAAAGGGAAAGUCAAAAUUGCUUACUCAUUAAACGAUUUCACUUUCGUUUUAAAUAACAUUUAUAUAAUAGAAUCCUACUCUAAAGCGUACUUAACUAUGAAAAGUGAAAAAAAGGAACCUGUUUUAUCCAAAAAAAAAGAAACAAAAGGACUAUCAUCUAAGAAGGUCGUAUUUAAUAGCAAUUAUGAAUCUGUGCUGUUACACAAAUUUAACUUGAAUUUUGAAAAUAAUGUAAUAAGCACUAAUCGACUAGCUAAGAUGAAUAAUAGGAACGAAAAAAAAAAUAGGAAAAGUUGCAUGUACAUUCGAGUAUGUAACAAGCAGAAUGAAAAAAUGAUUAACGUAAAUGUGCAUAUUGAAAAUGUAAAGUUGAUUAUUCAACGCCUGAAUAAUUUAUAUUUUUUAAUUGACAGUUUUUUAGAAAAGGAUUUAUUUUUAAUUUGUUAUUCAUUUGGUAAGAAUAAUAAUAACAAUAAUAAUAAUAAUAAUAAUAAUAACAAUAAUAAUAAUAAUAAUAAUAAUAAUAACAAUAAUAAUAAUAAUAAUAAUAAUAAUAAUAACAAUAAUAAUAAUAAUAAAAGCAAAGUGUACAACCGUAAAUGUGUGGAUAUAUAUAUAUCCAAUAAAGGACGCAAAAAUAAUAUCGUUAACCUAGACUUGAGCAUAAAUAAAAUAAAAAUCGAAUUAAAAAAUAAUAACACAGAAAGUAUCUUUUUUUGUUUAAGUAACACUAUUUUUUAUUAUGCUAAUAAACGUGUUAGUAAUAUAAAAAAUUUAGGCACCAUUCGAACUGAAUCUAAUAGUACUAUUAAUUUUAAAAAGUUAAAAAUGAAUAGACAUAAAAUGGAUAUAAAAAAAAAGGAACGAUUUCUAUCAGGAGGGGGAGUAAUGCCCAUAUUAAGAGAAGAAUAUAUCGUACAAACACAUCAAAAACAAUCUGUAUAUAAUAUUUAUUUCAAAGUAACAAACAUUUAUUCAUAUAUCCAAAGUAAUAAGAAAACGCAUAUUGUUAUUUUUCCUUUUUGUUUUUUUUUUACAUUAUAUAAAUCAUUUUCAUAUAAGGUAAAUAUAAAUGUAGUGUCAUUAAUAGUAGAGUUAAACAUACAUGUUUUAACACUAUUAAAAAAAAUAUUUUCUUUUCAUAAAAAACCGAAAGUAGAGAAACUAAAGGGGCAACAUAAUAGUUACGUGAAGGAUGAAGAAAAAGUAGCGGAUGUUGUGAUAUAUAAAAGAAAUGUAUACCAUGAUGUUAAAAAUUGUUUAAUAGAAGACAAUUUAUACAAAAAUGACCUGAUCAAUUAUUUUUUUACUAUGAACAAGUCACACAAAAUGAUUAAACAAUAUAUAUGUAAAAAUGCUAAUAGUAUUAACUUAAAGAGUGAGUUAUAUAAAUGCUUGAGUUGUUUAGAUAUAUAUUUCUAUGAUGUUGAUAAAAUAAAUAAUAAUGAAGAAUCUUAUAUAGGGUCUACGUCGAAGUUCAGUUUGAAAUCGUUUUUUAAUUUGUUAAAAGAUGUAGAAAUUGAACUUGACUGUGCGCACGUUCUUUUUUUUUUUUUCUUCGAC
ensembl:lncRNA